GACGAACGUUGGCGGCGUGGAUUAGGCAUGCAAGUCGUACGGGUCAGUGUAGCAAUACAACGGCAAGUGGCGAAAGGGAGAGUAACACGUAGAUACCUACCCUCUGGUCGGGGAUACCGCGGCAUAACCGCAAGUAAUACCCGAUAAAAUCUCCGGAUCAAAGGUGUGAUUCCGCCGGAGGAGGGGUCUGCGUUCUAUCAGCUUGUUGGUGAGGUAAUGGCUCACCAAGGCUAAGACGGAUACGGGGUGUGAGAGCAUGCCCCCGCUCACUGGGACUGAGACACUGCCCAGACACCUACGGGUGGCUGCAGUCGAGAAUCUUCGGCAAUGGGCGCAAGCCUGACCGAGCGACGCCGCGUGCGGGAUGAAGGCCUUCGGGUUGUAAACCGCUGUCGAGGGGAAUGAAGUGCAAGUGAGUUAUCUCAUUUGUUUGACAGAUCCCUGGAGGAAGCAUGGGCUAAGUUCGUGCCAGCCGCCGCGGUAACAC
rnacentral:rRNA from 1 species